rnacentral:ncRNA from 1 species
GCAAUGCGUGCUUUAGCACGAUGUUGGUAAAGCUGACUCCUUUCAAACGGGCAGUUCGAAUGUAUUGUGCGGUCAUUACCUCGGCCAUUGAGGCCCGAGUCAUACGGGCAAUGUAGCCCAUGCCAUAGAAGGCCAUCGUGAUCACCGGCAGGGUAAAAUUGGCAAUGGU